ACAACAAGAACAAGAAAAACGGCAGCAACCUAAUAAAAACAAGACGUACGGAUCUGACAUAACAAGAACAACACGGGCAGAGACGAAGCCAACAGAUUUUUUUGAAGUAGAUUCAGCUCCACCGGGUCUUUUGCAAAAGACCACGCAACCAGGCACAGAACAAUAAAACUACCUUGAGGUAGCACAGAACUGGUUGGAUCGCACUGCUGUGCAGGCAGUCGAUUGAAGCGAGUCAGCGCUCAAAAAAAUACGUUUGCUCUUGACCUCCAUUGAGGUCGCAUGAAAUGCAGUGAAGGGUGGCCCAACAAAAACAACAACACACCACCCUACAAAAAUAAAAAGAGCACGCGACACGACUCAAAAGGGAGCCCAUGGCUCCCUUUGUGCUAUCUGGCCUUUCACACCUCCCCAACGC
rnacentral:sRNA from 1 species